GGUGAAUUUCCACAUCACAGACGUGCUGGAAGCAAAGGGGCUGGAGAAAUGACCGCAGGAGUUGGGACACAGGAAGAUGGAGAAGCAAGUGUCUGAGAAAAAGAUAAAGCCCUAUAAACAAAUGCCGUCUGAUGUAAUCCUCCAAGCAUCUCCUCCACUGAGCAAUGUGGAUGUGACAUCACUGCAGAGCUGGAUGAGAGCUGGCCACUUGAAUCAUUCUCACCUCAAAACAAAAGGCGACCAGACCCGAGGCCUGUGGAAGCAGCUCAUUCCCAGGCUGCCGUGCCCUUGUGACCUUCCUCACUGUUACUUCCAUUUCCAACAAUAGGUUUUUUUCCUCUUGCCUUUAAACGAUGCAAUAGAUUCCCCUCCAUCUGUAUUGCAGAUGUGGCGAGGAAAUGCCACAGACCUGCAGGGCAGAUCUUGCUGCAAUCCUGGGGCAGAACAAAGGGGGUUCUGGGAGCAGCCACACAGCUGAAUGAAUGCAUCCUUACUCUGGUCAAAUAUGAUAAGGGAUGAACUGUCUUUCCCCCUAUCAUUUUGUGAGCAGUCCCAAUGUUGUCUGAGCCUGAAAACCUCUUUCCAGGAUUGGAAGGAGGCUCCUGCCUGGUGAAAGAACUAAUAUUAAGCAUUUACUGCACAGGAAUACCGUUUCCAUUUUUCUCUGAUCCCCUAACACUCAGGAUGAUAGUUCAUGAAUUAUUGACUUAUUUGGGGCUUAUAUUAGGUGGAAAAAGCUUAGAAAGAGUGAUGGUGACUAGAGGUGUGUACCCAAGUAAACACAUGGAAGAGGUGAAUGGGAAUACUUCUGCUGAGAUGGCAUUUUUCUAUUACUCUAGGUAGUAGAUGUAUUUCAUUUUUUUUAACCUCUAAUGUAUUACUUGUACUUCUAGGGCUCCUUGCUCUACAAACACACUUCUGAUUCCAAAGGCAUGGCACAGAGGUAGUCUUAGUUCCCGCAAACCAGGACUGGUUCCAGACAGCACAUGAAGGGGACUCUGUAUCAGGGUAUGUGAAGAUAGGGCAAGGGGGAAUGGUUUAAAACUAUAAAAGGGGAGAUUUAGCUUAAAUGUUAGGAGGAAAUCCUCUACUCAAGAGGGCAGUGAGGCUCUGGCACAGGUUGCCCAGAUAAGUUGUGUCCCAUCCCUGGAGGUGCUCAAGGCCAGGUUGGAUGGAGCUAUGGGCAGCCUGAUCUCGUGGGAGGCAACCAGCGCACAGCAGGGGGUGGGGGUGGAGGAGGCUGUAAGUUCCCUCCAACCCAAAGCUUUCUCUGAUUCUCUGACUCUCUGAUGGGAGGGGUCUUGCAAAUCACGUGAUGAGGCUUUUCCACUUCAUGAUGGGUAGCAUCAGUCUCUUGCUGAUGGAAAUUCAGUAUCAUUAAGGUUUGAGAUCAGAGCAUAGCUAUUCAUGCACAAAGCUGUGGUUUACUGGCUCUGGUUACCUCAUUCUGACACCCUUUAAUUUAAUAAAUCUGAACCAUGCUACCCAAGCAGAUAACAGCAGUGAUUCAAUCAAAGAAUCAUAGAACAACUUGGGUUGGAAGGGAACUCAAGGAUCACCAGCUUCCAUCCCCACUCCAGCAGGCGAGGUUGCCAACUGCUAUAUCAAAUACUAGACCAGGCUGCCCGAGGCCCCAUCCAACCUGGCCUUGAACACCUCCAGGGACGGGGCAUCCACAACCUCUGUGGGCAGCCUGUUCCAGCACUUCAGCACCUCAUUUCCCUCUGACAUCCAAUCUGUAUCUUCCCUCCUUUAGUUUAAAACUGUUCCCCCUUGCCCUAUCACUAUCUACCCAUGUAAAAAGUUGAUUUCCCUCCUGCUUAUAAUCUCCCUUUAAAUAUUGGAAGGCUGUAAUGAGGUCCCCCUGCAGCUUUCUCUCUUCCAGACUGAAGAAACCCAGCUCCUUCAACAGGAUAACUUUCUCAGUGCCAUUUUUCAGCUUGAAUCCUUUUCUUUCUCACUCACUCCCACAAGGAAUUGGGCUAUUGUCCUCAGUUGUGGCUUGUAACUUUUUUCAGUCUGAAUCAAGUAACUCCUUACCAUCUCCCAGGUAGCUGAGUUCUCCUGAAGUAUUUGAUCACACCCUGAAACCAUAAUCUGAAUGUGUUUUCAUUUCUUCCUUUUUCUUUUCUUGUCUGAUUUCUCUUAAAAUAACAAAUCGGAAUUACAUUUUCAAUAAACAGUCCACCCUAGGGAAUCUGACUGCCGGCCAUGUUUGGCUCUGACAUGCAGUAGCAGGAGGCAGCAGCCACCCCGCCUGGUGACAAGGAGCUAAGCAAUGUCUCCACAAACAGGAGGCUCCUGAAAGAGCAGCUGAAGGACGGCCUUUGGCAUGGCAGCACAACUGGGAAAGGCCCAAAGAGGACAAGCCUGGACCAAAUGAGCUCGGAAAUGGCUUUAAUUUUUGUGGAAAAUGGGCACCAGCUCUCCUGCAGGCUUACCUCUGUGGCAUAAACGUAAACAACAAAAAAAAACUUCCUGAUGCAAGCUCGUGCUUUUAUUUUGAUACAUAUCAAAGGAAACCGCUGUUUAUACGUUGAAGGAACUGCCCAAAUACACCCUCCUGGCAGCAGCUCACUAUCUGUAAAAGCAGAGGGCACUGCCCAUACUUCUAGAAACAUUGCUGCUGGUACUGGGCCAGAGCAUUACCUAAGUGCAUUGAAUUGGGAGAGGUGUGUAUAACGAUGGCAUGUGAACCUUCACAAGAUCAAGCACAGGUAGACAGGUUUUCAGAGGGAGGACAGAUGCAUGAGCAUGUUAUAUCCCCAAAGCUCACCAGGAGAGCCUCCACUUGACAGGUGGACCCAGAAACACAUUGGGCUAUUCUGUUAGCCAAAACUUUUGUAUUUUGUUCUAAAUAUUGAACACCCAGCACAUACCACAGCCCACUGGAGUGUUGGCAUCUCUGACAUGGUGGUAGGAGGAAGUUUUGCUCUCAGAGGUGUUGUGAUUGCCUGUGUGGAGACUGCCAGCACCGCAGAGCAGGAAUAACGAGGAAUAACAGACAUAAAUAAGGGCUGGAAGAGAGGGUGCUUUAGUAAGACAGCACCACUCCGUAGCAAAAAAAAAAAAAAAAAAAAAAAAAAAAAAAAAGAAGAUGAAGAAGAAGAAAGGAAGAAAGAAAAGACUCCCUCAUUUGUCAUAAUCCUAACGACAAAGAUGAAAUAUCAUCUCUUUGUUGCUCAAAGAGCAUACCUGGCAGAAACACAACUGCAACCACUGGAUAUUUAUUCUGGAAGCAGCGGGGGAGGUGUGUUGGGAGCCUCCCACUAAAAUUCCCCAGAAAUGAAGGGAAUCCCAAUAACUCUCCAAAAUGACCAAUGAUGAAGUCCAUAAGCAGUGUUUUCCCACCACUGUGAAAAAUCAGAGAUUCAUGUUGAGGUGGUUUAUCUAC